rnacentral:rRNA from 1 species
UACGUAGGGGGCAAGCGUUAUCCGGAUUUACUGGGUGUGAAGGGAGCGUAGGCGGCUGUGUAAGCCAGAAGUGAAAGCCCGGGGCUCAACUCCGGGACUGCUUUUGGAACUACAUGGCUUGAUUGCAGGAGAGGCAAGUGGAAUUCCUAGUGUAGCGGUGAAAUGCGUAGAUAUUAGGAGGAACACCAGUGGCGAAGGCGGCUUACUGGACUGUAAAUGACGCUGAGGCUCGAAAGCGUGGGGAGCAAACAGG